rnacentral:antisense_RNA from 1 species
CCCUGUCGGGUUUUACCUCCCCCUGGGAGAGCUCAGCCCUGGAUCCCGGCGUGCGGCGGAGCCUCUCUGGAGCCCGGACGGGACAGCCCACCAGGGUCUGCUUCUGUGAGGGGCCGAGGCGUCAUUCCGCGAAGCCUUUUCCUUGCUGUCGCCAUGUGAAGAAGGAUGUGUUUGCUUCUCCUUCUGCCAUGAUUGUAAGUUUCCUGAAGCCUCUCCAGCCAUGCCAAACUAAUUGGAAAAAACUACUUUAAAGUUCAUAUGGAACCAAAAAAGAGCCCGCAUUGCCAAGUCAAUCCUAAGCCAAAGGAACAAAGCUGGAGGCAUCACACUACAUGACUUCAAACUAUACUACAAGGCUACAGUAACCAAAACAGCAUGGUACUGGUACCAAAACAGAGAUAUAGAUCAGUGGAACAGAACAGAGCCCUCAGAAAUAAUGCCGCAUAUCUACAACUAUCUGAUCUUUGACAAACCUGAGAAAAACAAGCAAUGGGGAAAGGAUUCCCUAUUUAAUAAAUGGUGCUGGGAAAACUGGCUAGCCAUAGGUAGAAAGCUGAAACUGGAUCCCUUUCUUACACCUUAUACAAAAAUCAAUUCAAGAUGGAUUAAAGACUUAAACGUUAGACCUAAAACCAUAAAAACCCUAGAAGAAAACCUAGGCAUUACCAUUCAGGACAUAGGCAUGGGCAAGGACUUCAUGUCUAAAACACCAAAA